GGUCGUUCCGAUUAGAUCGGGAUACUCAUCAAACUAUAACAUCUCCGAGAGCAAACUCCAGCCGAUGGCGGGCCAUAUAAACCGGGCAACCGACUAAGCUGUAAAGCCAGUGGAUUACAAAAGCGGAGCACUCUCAAAACAUGACAUCCAGGAGUGUCAUCACAUCAUCGGGCGACCCUUUCC
rfam:Prevotella sp. CAG:1320 genomic scaffold, scf117